AUUUAUUCCGACAUUGAUUAUAAAGCCAAUUGUUAUCUAUUGUGACAAAAAAAUACUUGGGGAAGAUUUAGUGUUGGGAAUGCUUAAGUUUAUUAUUAUAAUUAAAUUUAAUUAGACAAAUAUAAGAAUUUAAACAUAUUUAACCGAAGCCUCUCGUUUCUUUGUUUCGUGCAGCUCUCAGCUCACAUUAUUCUCACGCACCCCACUGGUUUAUCAUCCAAAAUAAUAUUUUGGAGAGUCUCUUCUUUAUCCUUGGUUCAACAAUGGAUUUUGUUUGGGGGUGAUAUUGUAGUCAUUUUGCAGAAAUAUAUUGCCUUUGGAAGUUGGUUUUGAUGAGUUGGACUUUAUUGUAUGGAGUUAUCAACUUUUUAUUUCAUGAGACUUUGUUAUGAACAUUAUUUUAUAUGGACUUUAUUAUAUAUGUACGAGACUUUGAA